GAGGGACAAGCUAUUGCUUUCUUGAGACUUGCGCUAAUGAGUUACCACUGUUUUACGCUGACAUUGUAACACAGUUUCCCGGACAAUGAGGAGAAACCAUAGAUGACGCCAUAUCUGAAUGUGACAACUACAGACAAGUAUCAGGAAACAGAACAGUCUUUGCUAUGGUUACCAUACGUCAUCAUAACAGUUGCGUGUCUAGUUUUUCUAGCCAUUAACUUCUGGUGUUAUCAUAGAAAACGACGGUUACAAUAUGAAAGAAAGUCAGAAGCACUUGAGGCCAGGGAGCGUGUAAUGGAACGCCGAAUCAUCCUUAAUAUUGUCAAGUCAAAAUACAAGGCGUAUAUUGUAGACGAUACUGAUAAAAAUAUAGAAGACAAUGCUUGCGAUGUUUACUCAUAUUAUAUGCAAUCUACAUCAACCGCACAUGAAAUCGCAAAUCUGUGAUAAAAUAGACAAUUUCGUAUCAAAUUAUCUACAACGCAUGAAAUUUUACGAUAGUUUACAAAUAAAAUGUUACCUAGGCAACCGUAAUAUCAUAACACCUACCUAACAUGAGAAGACAGAGACGUCUAGUUAAUAUGAUAAUUGCUAGAUUUUUAAAACGCAACUACAGCUAACCGGUAAUUCUAAUAAAAUAAUUUUAUAUGAAAUAUUAUGACAUCCGAUACACUUUCUUUAGAUACACUUAGUAUAUAACGCUAUUUUGGCAUGUAAACGCUCGGUAUCUCUGUUUUUAGUUUCGAUGUGCUGGACAUAGCACAGAGUCCCCAUUUCAUUUUUUCUCAAUGUUUUGUACAUUUUCAACAUAUGAACUGCUUUAACAUACAUGUAUGUAUGAAACUGUUGCUUUAAAUCAUUAAAUC
rnacentral:lncRNA from 1 species